rnacentral:rRNA from 1 species
GUGAGCAACCUGCCCUGGACUCUGGGAUAAGCGCUGGAAACGGUGUCUAAUACUGGAUAUGAGGCGUGAUCGCAUGGUCAUGUUUGGAAAGAUUUUUCGGUCUGGGAUGGGCUCGCGGCCUAUCAGCUUGUUGGUGAGGUAAUGGCUCACCAAGGCGUCGACGGGUAGCCGGCCUGAGAGGGUGACCGGCCACACUGGGACUGAGACACGGCCCAGACUCCUACGGGAGGCAGCAGUGGGGAAUAUUGCACAAUGGGCGCAAGCCUGAUGCAGCAACGCCGCGUGAGGGAUGACGGCCUUCGGGUUGUAAACCUCUUUUAGCAGGGAAGAAGCGUGAGUGACGGUACCUGCAGAAAAAGCGCCGGCUAACUACGUGCCAGCAGCCGCGGUAAUACGUAGGGCGCAAGCGUUAUCC